UGGUACACAACAUCCUUACAUGUUGCACCUAUCUGAAUGGUUCACAACUUCAAUGUUUUGUUAAUGCUAGGUCCCUUCAUUGUUUUUGUGUGCAGUAAGGAAAAGCUCUAUUGUCUUCACAAGGAUUGAAAGUAUAACAUCAUACAUACACAAACAUGGACAACCCAGAUUGGAACCAAAGAAAUAGCGGAGAGGGUACAAGUAAUGGGAAAAACGCACCUACAUUAGAGAUUUCAGGAACCAAGAUAGUGAUGUACUAUACUGUACAUCAUGGACAGUUUAUUCUUACACACUUAAUUAGGAUGGCUACAUUUUACUUGAGAUUCAUUUGAUGGAUAUUUGCGAUGAGAAUUUUGAUUUGUAUGAACCGACAUAUUAUACGUAUGGUUUUGAGUUUUGUAAUUUAAUGGCUGUUUUUUCUA